CCUACGGGAGGCAGCAGUGGGGAAUUUUGGACAAUGGGCGCAAGCCUGAUCCAGCAAUGCCGCGUGAGUGAAGAAGGCCUUCGGGUUGUAAAGCUCUUUUGUCAGGGAAGAAACAGCUGAGGAUAAUACCUUUGGCUAAUGACGGUACCUGAAGAAUAAGCACCGGCUAACUACGUGCCAGCAGCCGCGGUAAUACGUAGGGUGCAAGCGUUAAUCGGAAUUACUGGGCGUAAAGCGUGCGCAGGCGGUUUUGUAAGUCUGACGUGAAAUCCCCGGGCUCAACCUGGGAAUUGCGUUGGAGACUGCAAGGCUGGAGUCUGGCAGAGGGGGGUAGAAUUCCACGUGUAGCAGUGAAAUGCGUAGAGAUGUGGAGGAACACCGAUGGCGAAGGCAGCCCCCGUGGGUCAAGGCUGACGCUCAUGCACGAAAGCGUGGGGAGCAAACGAGGAUUAGGAUACCCUAGGUAGUCCACGCCCUAAACGAUGUCUACUAGUUGUCGGGUCUUAAUUGACUUGGUAACGCAGCUAACGCGUGAAGUAGACCGCCGUGGGGAGUAACGGUCGCAAGAUUAAAACUUNAAAUGAAUUGACGGNNGAGAGNGCGACGGACGACGACGAGGGAGGAGG
rnacentral:rRNA from 1 species